UAGAGUUUGAUCAUGGCUCAGGAUGAACGCUAGCGACAGGCUUAACACAUGCAAGUCGAGGGGCAGCGGGGAGGUAGCAAUACUUCCGCCGGCGACCGGCGCACGGGUGAGUAACACGUAUGGAACCUGCCCGUAGCAGGGGGAUAAGCGGAAGAAAUUCCGUCUAAUACCGCGUAAUAACUCCGAGAGGCAUCUCCUGGGGUUUAAAGGGUAACACCGGCUACGGAUGGCCAUGCGGCGCAUUAGCUAGUUGGCGGGGUAACGGCCCACCAAGGCGACGAUGCGUAGGGGUUCUGAGAGGAAGGUCCCCCACACUGGUACUGAGACACGGACCAGACUCCUACGGGAGGCAGCAGUGAGGAAUAUUGGUCAAUGGGCGCGAGCCUGAACCAGCCAAGUCGCGUGAGGGAAGACGGUCCUAUGGAUUGUAAACCUCUUUUGUCGGGGAGCAAAAGACGCCACGCGUGGCGUUCCGAGAGUACCCGAAGAAAAAGCAUCGGCUAACUCCGUGCCAGCAGCCGCGGUAAUACGGAGGAUGCGAGCGUUAUCCGGAUUUAUUGGGUUUAAAGGGUGCGCAGGCGGAAGAUCAAGUCAGCGGUAAAAUUGAGAGGCUCAACCUCUUCGAGCCGUUGAAACUGGUUUUCUUGAGUGAGCGAGAAGUAUGCGGAAUGCGUGGUGUAGCGGUGAAAUGCAUAGAUAUCACGCAGAACUCCGAUUGCGAAGGCAGCAUACCGGCGCUCAACUGACGCUCAUGCACGAAAGUGUGGGUAUCGAACAGGAUUAGAUACCCUGGUAGUCCACACAGUAAACGAUGAAUACUAAUUGUUCGGGGAGAAUGAUCCCUGAGUGAUACAGCGAAAGCGUUAAGUAUUCCACCUGGGGAGUACGCCGGCAACGGUGAAACUCAA
rnacentral:rRNA from 1 species